rnacentral:rRNA from 1 species
GACGAACGCUGGCGGCGUGCUUAACACAUGCAAGUCGAACGGUGAACGAGGGAGCUUGCUCCCUCCGGAUCAGUGGCGAACGGGUGAGUAACACGUGAGCAAUCUGCCCCGAACUCUGGGAUAAGCGUUGGAAACGACGUCUAAUACCGGAUACGACGCGGGAGGGCAUCCUCUCCGCGUGGAAAGAACUUCGGUUCGGGAUGAGCUCGCGGCCUAUCAGCUUGUUGGUGAGGUAACGGCUCACCAAGGCGACGCCGGGUAGCCGGCCUGAGAGGGUGACCGGCCACACUGGGACUGAGACACGGCCCAGACUCCUACGGGAGGCAGCAGUGGGGAAUAUUGCACAAUGGGCGCAAGCCUGAUGCAGCAACGCCGCGUGAGGGACGACGGCCUUCGGGUUGUAAACCUCUUUUAGCAGGGAAGAAGCGAAAGUGACGGUACCUGCAGAAAAAGCACCGGCUAACUACGUG